GACAGAGGAGGCAAGCGUUGUUCGGAAUUAUUGGGCUUAAAGCGGGUCUAGGCGCCCGGCCAGUGUCCUGUGAAAUCCCCCGGCUCAACCGGGGAACUGCAGGGCAAACUGCCGGGCUUGAGGUCGGUAGAGGUGCCUGGAACUCUAGGUGGAGCGGUGAAAUGCGUAGAUAUCUAGAGGAACGCCGGAGGCGAAAGCGGGGCACUGGGCCGAUUCUGACGCUGAAGCCCGAAAGCGUGGGGAGCAAACAGGAUUAGAUACCCUCGUA
rnacentral:rRNA from 1 species